rnacentral:sRNA from 1 species
GAAAAUCAACCAUUCCUGAAAAAACACGUGGCCAGAAACGUCUCUCAGAGUUUCUGAAAACAGAGACGAUUCUCACUUCUCUCUCUUCUUUUUCACCACUUUAUAUUAUUUUAAU